rnacentral:lncRNA from 12 species
GAGCCAAAAGAAUGAAUAACUCAUUCUAAGCUAUAUUUUUUUAAUUCUGUGUUUCAACUCUCUGUCAGAAAACUUCUCUGAGAAGAAGAAGAAGAAGAAGAAGAAGAAGAAGAAGAAGAAGAAGAAGAAAGAAGAAGAAGAAGAAGAAAGAAGAAAGAAAAAGAAAGAAAGAAAGAAAGAAAAAGAAAGAAAGAAAGAAAGAAAGAAAGAAAGAAAGAAAGAAAGAAAGAAAGAAAGAAAGAACUUUAGAAUGAAAGAGAAGAAGGAAGGAAGGAAGGAAGGAAGGAAGGAAGGAAGGAAGGAAGGAAGGAAGGAAGGAAAGAAGGAAGGAAGGAAGCUGCCCUGUUUCUGUUUUUACUUCAGAGCCUGCUUUGAACUUUAACUACAGCUAGGGUCCAUACCACUGAGUACUUCUGCUUCUGGUCCUCUGUCUCCUUGGGAACCACCAAAAGACACACAACAAACAAACACAACCCGGAUUUUUGAAGGCAUCAAAGAACCCAGAGGCUGCUUGAAUUUGAGGAGCAAAGAUCCUUGGAGAAUGGAGGGAGGCACAGUGAAGUGAUUUGGAUCUUCUCUAUAGCUUUUUCUUGAAGACACUUGAUGAUUCACAGAGAUUGACAUUUAGUCUCAGCAGAAAGUAGCAACCUAGGAUAUAUUUACUAGUGUCAUGGGAUGAAGAGACCAAAAUUGGAACUCAGGUGCCAAGACCCUCAAGAAAAGGGAACAACAGGAAUGUGAACAUAUAAUUCCACGAGAUUUUGUUCUUGGAAUAUUUGUUAAUCCUAAAAUUCCCAGAUGUAAGAAGCAGAAAAAUCAAGCAUAAAGAAACUAAUUGCUAAAGAGCUAGGGAGAAAAUUUUUUAGCACUCUCAUAGCACUGGAUAUUAAAAAAUUGAAAUGCAGGCCUGGUCCAGACUCAGUGACCCUGGUGUAGACCCAGGCUUUCAGCUGCAACUCCUAUAAUUUCAGCAAGUGUUAACUGGAAAGAUACUGAUGCUGUAAGAGAUGUGGCCUUACUCUAACCCAGAAGAAAUUCUGUAGAUAAAACAGUAUCAUUUGGAACCACUACAGUUUUCCAUGCACUGUGCCUAUCAAAUACUACAUAGUGUGCCAGUGUGCUGGGAAUUAAAAUCUAACCAACAAAAACCAAGAGAAGAAAUAGGCAAUAACAAGAGAUAUACAGGUAAUCCAGGUAUUGGAUUUUUCAGACACAAACUUUAAAUUAGCUAUGAUUAAUGUGAGUAAACCAGUUUAUUCAUUUGAUUAGAAAUUGUAUUUGUAAUGGAGGUAUGAUGUGCAAAUUCACAUAUGUUGAUGGCCUACAAGAUGUUCAGUGAGUCUUGUGCUAUAAAAUUUUAUCUUCACAUUAACUCUCGAAGGGAUUAUUAGU